AACAGGAUUAGAUACCCUGGUAGUCCACGCUGUAAACGAUGUCGACUUGGAGGUUGUGCCCUUGAGGCGUGGCUUCCGGAGCUAACGCGUUAAGUCGACCGCCUGGGGAGUACGGCCGCAAGGUUAAAACUCGAAUGAAUUGACGGGGGCCCGCACAAGCGGUGGAGCAUGUGGUUUAAUUCGAUGCAACGCGAAGAACCUUACCUACUCUUGACAUCCAGAGAAUUUGCUAGAGAUAGCUUAGUGCCUUCGGGAACUCUGAGACAGGUGCUGCAUGGCUGUCGUCAGCUCGUGUUGUGAAAUGUUGGGUUAAGUCCCGCAACGAGCGCAACCCUUAUCCUUUGUUGCCAGCACGUAAUGGUGGGAACUCAAAGGAGACUGCCGGUGAUAAACCGGAGGAAGGUGGGGAUGACGUCAAGUCAUCAUGGCCCUUACGAGUAGGGCUACACACGUGCUACAAUGGCAUAUACAAAGAGAAGCGAACUCGCGAGGGCAAGCGGACCUCAUAAAGUAUGUCGUAGUCCGGAUUGGAGUCUGCAACUCGACUCCAUGAAGUCGGAAUCGCUAGUAAUCGUAGAUCAGAAUGCUACGGUGAAUACGUUCCCGGGCCUUGCACACACCGCCCGUCACACCAUGGGAGUGGGUUGCAAAAGAAGUAGGUAGCUUAACCUUCGGGAGGGCGCUUACCACUUUGUGAUUCAUGACUGGGGUGAAGUCGUAACAAGAAACC
rnacentral:rRNA from 1 species